UGAGUGCGAGCUGCUACGGCAGCGAAGUUGGUGACGUCAAGCUUCCAAGAAAAGCCCUAUACCCGUUAAGGCAUCAUGGCCUGUACCCGAAACCGACACAGGUGGGGUGGUAGAAAUACCGAGGGGCGCGAGGUAACUCUCUCUAAGGAACUCGGCAAAAUGGCCCCGUAACUUCGGGAGAAGGGGUGCCACCGCAAGGUGGUCGCAGUGAAGAGGCCCAGGCGACUGUUUACCAAAAACACAGGUCUCCGCUAAGUCGCAAGGCGAUGUAUGGGGGCUGACGCCUGCCCAGUGCCGGAAGGUUAAGGAAGCUGGUCAGCGCAAGCGAAGCUGGCGACUGAAGCCCCGGUGAACGGCGGCCGUAACUAUAACGGUCCUAAGGUAGCGAAAUUCCUUGUCGGGUAAGUUCCGACCCGCACGAAAGGCGUAACGAUCUGGGCGCUGUCUCGGAGAGAGGCUCGGCGAAAUAGAAUUGUCUGUGAAGAUGCGGACUACGUGCACCCGGACAGAAAGACCCUAUGAAGCUUUACUGUAGCUUGGUAUUGUGCCCGGGCUCUGAAUGCGCAGGAUAGGUGGGAGGCUUUGAUCAUCGGCUUGCGGGUCGAUGUGAGCCAACGGUGAGAUACCACUCUUUCAGAGCUAGGGUUCUAACAGUCACCCGUUAUCCGGGGACUGGACAGUAUCAGGUGGGCAGUUUGACUGGGGCGGUCGCCUCCUAAAAGGUAACGGAGGCGCGCAAAGGUCUGCUCAGGCUGGUUGGAAAUCAGCCGACGAGUGUAAAAGCAGAAGCAGGCUUGACUGUGAGACCUACAAGUCGAACAGGGAGGAAACUCGGCUUUAGUGAUCCGACGGUUCUGCGUGGAAGGGCCGUCGCUCAACGGAUAAAAGUUACUCUAGGAUAACAGGCUGAUCUCCCCCAAGAGUUCACAUCGACGGGGAGGUUUGGCACCUCGAUGUCGGCUCAUCGCAACCUGGGGCUGAAGUCGGUCCCAAGGGUUGGGCUGUUCGCCCAUUAAAGCGGUACGCGAGCUGGGUUCAGAACGUCGUGAGACAGUUCGGUCCAUAUCCGGUGCAUGCGCAGGAAUAUUGAGAGGAGUUCUCCCUAGUACGAGAGGACCGGGAGGAACGCACCUCUGGUGUACCAGUUAUCGUGCCAACGGUAAACGCUGGGUAGCCAUGUGCGGAGAGGAUAACCGCUGAAAGCAUCUAAGUGGGAAGCCCACCUCAAGAUGAGUAUUCCCAUGGCGUUAGCCAGUAAGGUCACGGGAAGAACACCCGUUGAUAGGCUCUAUGUGGAAGCGCAGUAAUGCGUGAAGCAGAGGAGUACUAAUAGACCGAGGGCUUGAC
rnacentral:rRNA from 1 species